UUUCUCCCUGAAAACUAUAAUUCUAUCACGUCUCUUUCCAAUUUUCCGGGCAGUAAUUUGUUCCAUGACAUCAGCUUUUGGACAGAUCUAAAAAAAAGAGUCUUCAGUUUAAACUUUUGCUUUGUGUGGUUUGGGUUGGGAUGGGUUUGUCUGUUUGAGACAGGAUCUCAUGUAAUUCGGUCUGAUCUCAGACUACUUAUGUAGCAUGGGGGUGACCCUGAACUCUGAUCCAGUUCCCAAAUUCUGGGAUUACAGGCAUGUGCCACAUGCGCAGAUAAAUUUUCAGUGUGUCUGGCUUUAUCCUCGUUCCAAGGAUGGAAGUGAUGACUUCUAAGUCACAUGUCAGACAGGGAGUCAUCAGGGUGGUUUUAAUGCUGAUGUUACCAUUUAUGAACUUUGUGGUAGUGUGAGCCUCAGGGUUGGUGUGAGUCAGACUCUUAGUCUAGCGUAGGAACCAGGGUGGAGGCGGCUGUGUUUCUUUGGUGAGGACCUGGGCAUGUUACAAACCGUAGUGUAACCUAGAGCAGGCAUGAGCAACCCUUCUCAGGAAAGUUAACCCGAACCUGUGCUUCCUUGGUCCUUUGCCACUUGAAAGCUAACUCAGUUCAGUUUCUAAUAUCUUCUGUGCUCGGCCAUUUCCUGUUACUAAUAGCACAACAACACACUGGCUGGAUUCUAAGCAAGAGGAGUUUAUUUGGCUCAUGCUUCUAUUUUGGUUCAUUGUUCUGGAUUGGUCACAUCUGCCUUCUUGCUGGCAGAGUCCUGAGGAAGAGGCCUAGGUGGAAAGAGUUUGAGCGAGCUGUCCAAAAUGACAAAGCCGUUGAUCACUGUUGUGGCUUCAGAAGAACUUUCCAGAACAGACUGUUUUUUGUUCCUCCUUCCUCAGAAAACAUGAUGUCCCUCAAAAAUGUUCCUCAGUGAGUCAGAAAUGUGGACCGCAGAGCUGGCUUCCUUUCAGGGUUCUCCAGUGGCAGCCCAGCUGGGACACACAGAAGUGAGACUCUGCUCGCCCCAGGGCAGCUUUUCUGGGCCACAGGAAACCAUUUUACAGUAUUUCCUAUGCUUUCGUCUGCAGCUGCCUAUGGUGUGAGCAGUGAAUCUGUUUCUUCUAACUUGCCACGUUGAUGUGUUCUCUCACCAGACUAAGGUCAUUGAUAAAAGCACAGCCAAGGGUGCGGUACUCAGAGGGUUUCUGAGCGCUGUUUGAAGGGGUUACGUAGCUAUGAUCUUGGUUAUCCCUAGCCAGUGGGAGCCCCGCUUUGGAUUAGUUAUUAGUGACUCUGCUUCAUAAAAGUGGUACAAAGAACAGGAUGUAAUCUGACAGUACCCUGGUACCUGUGUGAAGCAGGAAGGCGGGAUUAUCGCAGGGUGGAGACAUCAGGGACAGGAGUCCUGGAGAUAUUUGAUGGGGAAGAAAGAGUGGUAAGUGGACCAUAGUUAACACACCCAUGACUUCUACAGGUUUGUGUCUUCUGCUUACACAGGUGGAGCAACAAGAGUGAAGUGUAGAGCAGAGGAACGGUCCUCUUUGUUGGGAAUGUACACGGGCAACUCCCUCACCAGGGUAGAGAGCUCAAGAAGGGGCCAUUCAAGUGGAACGUCCCGCAUAGACGAAGAAAAAGAGAUUCUCAAGUGGUACCUGCGCAUCUAGGAGGGAAACAGAGCCAUAAAGAAGCU
rnacentral:lncRNA from 1 species